GACGAACGCUGGCGGCGUGCUUAACACAUGCAAGUCGAACGGACAGGCCCUGCUUUUGUGGGGUUCUCGAGUGGCGAACAGGUGAGUAACACGUGAGUAACCUGCCCUUAUCUUUGGGAUAAAUUCACGAAACUGGGGCUCAUACCGCGUAGGAGAUCCUGCUCCACAGGGGGGGUUGGAGAGUUUCGGUGGUUGUGGAUGGACUCGCGGCUUAUCAGCUUGUUGGGGGGGUAGUGGUUUACCAAGCCUUUGACGGGUAGCCGGCCUGAGAGGUUGACCGGCCACAUGGGUACUGAGAGACGGCCCAGACGCGUAUCGUAGGCAGUAGUGGGGAAUAUUGCGGAAUGGCGGGAAGCCAGAGGCAGCAACGCUGCGUGCGGGAUGACGGCCUUCGGGGUGUAAACCGCUGUGUCAUGUGACGAAGCGUGAGUGACGGUAAUGGGUAAGGAAGCACCGGCUAACUACGUG
rnacentral:rRNA from 1 species